GCGGGAGUAGCUCAGUUGGUAGAGCGCAACCUUGCCAAGGUUGAGGUCGCGAGUUCGAGCCUCGUUUCCCGCU
rnacentral:tRNA from 1 species